rnacentral:rRNA from 1 species
UACGAAGGGGGCGAGGCGUUGUUCGGAAUUACUGGGCGUAAAGGGCGCGUAGGCGGCGACUCUAGUCAGAUGUGAAAGUCCUGGGCUUAACCUGGGGACUGCAUUUGAUACUGGGUUGCUUGAAUUCGGGAGAGGAUAGCGGAAUUCCCAGUGUAGAGGUGAAAUUCGUAGAUAUUGGGAAGAACACCGGUGGCGAAGGCGGCUCUCUGGACCGAGACUGACGCUGAGGCGCGAAAGCCAGGGGAGCGAACGGG